GUUGGCUGAUGAGUCCUAAAUAGGACGAAAUGCACAUCCUGGAC
rnacentral:hammerhead_ribozyme from 1 species